rnacentral:rRNA from 1 species
CGGCGUGGCCUAAUACAAUGCAAGUCGAACGGUCUUUCUAUGGAAGCUUGCUUCCACUGAGAAGAUAGUGGCGAACGGGUGAGUAACACGUGGGUAACCUGCCCAUAAGAGGGGGAUAACAUCCGGAAAACGGGUGCUAAUACCGCAUAGUUUUCUUGAUCGCAUGAUUGGGAAAGGAAAGACGGCCUUUGUGCUGUCGCUUAUGGAUGGACCCGCGGCGUAUUAGUUAGUUGGUGAGGUAACGGCUCACCAAGACGAUGAUACGUAGCCGACCUGAGAGGGUGAUCGGCCACAUUGGGACUGAGACACGGCCCAAACUCCUACGGGAGGCAGCAGUAGGGAAUCUUCCGCAAUGGACGAAAGUCUGACGGAGCAACGCCGCGUGAGUGAAGUAAAAGGGUUUUCGGAUACGUAAAACUCUGUUGUCAGAGAAGAACAAGUUGGAGAGUAACUGCUCCAGCCUUGGACGGUAUCUGACCAAGAAAGCCACGGCUAACUACGUGCCAGCAGCCGC